AUCUGAACCUCAGAAGUGGACAUCAGUGUGUCAACAGAAGGAAAUGGGAACGUAGUCUCUUCUCCAUGAUAGCGAUGGCAUCAAGGUCCUAUAGAAGCAUGAAAUGCAAAGGAAGAGACCUUUCUCACUCAGUGCAGGCUGGUCAUCAGAGAACAAGCAUGGAGUUUACAAACAAACUAAAGGUCCGCAUGCUGAAUGACCCAUUUUCACAAUUCCUUUUUUUUUUUUUCAUUUU